CGGCAACAGCUCAAAUUUGAAAUCCGGCUCUCGGGCCCGAGUUGUAAUUUGUAGAGGGCGCUUUGGCGUUGGCAGCGGUCUAAGUUCCCUGGAACAGGACGUCACAGAGGGUGAGAAUCCCGUAUGUGGUCGCUGGCCUUCGCCGUGUAAAGCCCCUUCGAC
rnacentral:rRNA from 1 species